ACGAACGCUGGCGGCAGGCCUAACACAUGCAAGUCGAGCGCGCCCUUCGGGGUGAGCGGCGGACGGGUGAGUCACGCGUGGGAACGUGCCCUUUUCUUCGGAAUAGCCUCGGGAAACUGAGAGUAAUACCGUAUACGCCCUUUGGGGGAAAGAUUUAUCGGAAAAGGAUCGGCCCGCGUUGGAUUAGGUUGUUGGUGGGGUAAUGGCCUACCAAGCCGACGAUCCAUAGCUGGUUUGAGAGGAUGAUCAGCCACACUGGGACUGAGACACGGCCCAGACUCCUACGGGAGGCAGCAGUGGGGAAUCUUAGAAAAUGGGGGCAACCCUGAUCGAGCCAUGCCGCGUGAGUGAUGAAGGCCUUAGGGUUGUAAAGCUCUUUCAGCUGGGAAGAUAAUGACGGUACCAGCAGAAGAAGCCCCGGCUAACUCCGUG
rnacentral:rRNA from 1 species